AAUUGAAAGAAAAACAUGAACUUGAAGGUUGCUAUGAGAUUCCUGCCUGAGUCUCACAUCCUAUCAGUUGUCUGAUUUUGCAUUAGAUAUGGUCACAUUGAGUAAUCUUCUCAUUUAUUUCCUGCUAUCCUCUUUUGAAAGAACCACUCAUCUCCUUGAAAGUAACAAAGUUUGAUCUUACCAACUUUAUGUGUUUAUACCAUUACCUCCAG
rnacentral:misc_RNA from 1 species